rnacentral:rRNA from 1 species
UACAGAGGGUGCUAGCGUUGUUCGGAAUCAUUGGGCGUAAAGGGCGUGUAGGCGGUUUGUUAAGUCAUGUGUGAAAUCCCUCGGCUCAACCGGGGGAACGACGCAUGAAACUGGCAAGCUAGAGUACCAAAGAGGGGGGUGGAAUUCCCGGUGUAGUGGUGAAAUGCGUAGAGAUCGGGAGGAACACCUGUGGCGAAGGCGGCCCCCUGGGCCGGCCCUGACACUGAGACGCGAAGGCGUGGGGAGCGAACGGG